AACGAACGCUGGCGGCAUGCCUAACACAUGCAAGUCGAACGAGACCUUCGUGUCUAGUGGCGCACGGGUGCGUAACGCGUUGGAACCUGCCCUUAGGUUCGGAAUAACUCCCCGAAAGGGGUGCUAAUACCGGAUAAUGUCUUCGGACCAAAGAUUUAUCGCCUUUGGAUGGGCCCGCGUUGGAUUAGCUAGUUGGUAGGGUAAAAGCCUACCAAGGCGACGAUCCAUAGCUGGUCUGAGAGGAUGAUCAGCCAGACUGGGACUGAGACACGGCCCAGACUCCUACGGGAGGAAGCAGUGGGGAAUAUUGGACAAUGGGCGAAAGCCUGAUCCAGCAAUGCCGCGUGAGUGAUGAAGGCCUUAGGGUUGUAAAGCUCUUUUACCCGGGAUGAUAAUGACAGUACCGGGAGAAUAAGCUCCGGCUAACUCCGUG
rnacentral:rRNA from 1 species